GUGAGGAAUAUUGGUCAAUGGGCGGGAGCCUGAACCAGCCAAGUCGCGUGAAGGAAGAAGGAUCUAUGGUUCGUAAACUUCUUUUGCAGGGGAAUAAAGUGCAGGACGUGUCCUGUUUUGUAUGUACCCUGAGAAUAAGGAUCGGCUACCUCCGUGCCAGCAGCCGCGGUAAUACGGAGGAUCCGAGCGUUAUCCGGAUUUAUUGGGUUUAAAGGGUGCGUAGGUGGUUUGAUAAGUCAGCGGUGAAAGUUUGAAGCUUAACUGUAGAAAUGCCGUUGAAACUGUCGGACUUGAGUGUAAAUGAGGUAGGCGGAAUGCGUGGUGUAGCGGUGAAAUGCAUAGAUAUCACGCAGAACUCCGAUUGCGAAGGCAGCUUACUAAGCUACAACUGACACUGAAGCACGAAAGCGUGGGGAUCAAACAGGAUUAGAUACCCCAGUAGUCC
rnacentral:rRNA from 1 species